UAAGCAUAUCAAUAAGCGGAGGAAAAGAAACUAACAAGGAUUCCCCUAGUAACUGCGAGUGAAGCGGGAAGAGCUCAAAUUUAAAAUCUGGCAGUCUUUGGCUGUUCGAGUUGUAAUCUAGAGAAGUAUUAUCCGCGCUGGACCGUGUACAAGUCUCCUGGAAUGGAGCGUCAUAGAGGGUGAGAAUCCCGUCUUUGACACGGACUGCCAGGGCUUUGUGAUGUGCUCUCAAAGAGUCGAGUUGUUUGGGAAUGCAGCUCAAAAUGGGUGGUAAAUUCCAUCUAAAGCUAAAUAUUGGCGAGAGACCGAUAGCGAACAAGUACCGUGAGGGAAAGAUGAAAAGAACUUUGGAAAGAGAGUUAAACAGUACGUGAAAUUGCUGAAAGGGAAACGCUUGAAGUCAGUCGCGUUGGCCAGGGAUCAACCUUGCUUUUUUUGCUUGGCUUACUUUCUGGUUGAUGGGUCAGCAUCAAUUUUGACUGGUGGAAAAAGUUCAAGGGAAUGUGGCAUCCUCGGAUGUGUUAUAGCCUUUGUUCGCAUACAUCAGUUGGGAUUGAGGAACUCAGCACGCCGCAAGGCCGGGUUUUUAACCACGUACGUGCUUAGGAUGCUGGCAUAAUGGCUUUAAUCGACCCGUCUUGAAACACGGACCAAGGAGUCUAACAUGCCUGCGAGUGUUUGGGUGAAAAACCCGAGCGCGUAAUGAAAGUGAAAGUUGAGAUCCCUGUCGUGGGGAGCAUUGACGCCCGGAUCUGACCUUUUGUGACGAUUCUGCGGUAGAGCAUGUAUGUUGGGACCCGAAAGAUGGUGAACUAUGCCUGAAUAGGGUGAAGCCAGAGGAAACUCUGGUGGAGGCUCGUAGCGAUUCUGACGUGCAAAUCGAUCGUCAAAUUUGGGUAUAGGGGCGAAAGACUAAUCGAACCAUCUAGUAGCUGGUUCCUGCCGA
rnacentral:rRNA from 1 species